rnacentral:rRNA from 1 species
GACAGAGGGUGCAAACGUUGUUCGGAAUUACUGGGCGUAAAGCGCGUGUAGGCGGCCGCGCAAGUCGGAUGUGAAAUCCCACGGCUCAACCGUGGAAGGGCACCCGAAACUGCGUGGCUUGAGUCCUGGAGAGGAAGGUGGAAUGCUCGGUGUAGAGGUGAAAUUCGUAGAUAUCGAGCGGAACACCGGUGGCGAAGGCGGCCUUCUGGACAGUGACUGACGCUGAGACGCGAAAGCGUGGGGAGCAAACAGG